rnacentral:rRNA from 1 species
CAUGUAGGUGGAUACUUAAGUCUGUUGUGAAAAUGCGGGGCUCAACCCCGUAUUGCGAUGGAAACUGGGUGUCUUGAGUGCAGGAGAGGAAAGGGGAAUUCCCAGUGUAGCGGUGAAAUGCGUAGAUAUUGGGAGGAACACCAGUGGCGAAGGCGCCUUUCUGGACUGUGUCUGACACUGAGAUGCGAGAGCUAGGGGAGCGAACG